AGUAAUAAACGAGAUCUCAAAGGAAGUUAAAAAUAUCUCCCUUUAUAAACGAGCCCAAAUUUAGGCAAAUACGGACUGAUUAUAAGGGAAGUUACUCGUCGGAUUAACUAACAAAUGGCCUAAGCCGAACUGGAAGUAAUCUUGGACGAGCUGUGGAUCGACGUACAGUGGGUUCGGCGAAUUCAUGUCUUUAGCUGGAGAUUGAUUUAUACUCUUUCUCUCUUUGUCAGUGGAAAUUGCGGAUCUCCGUAUUUACGAGGUACUUUGUCGAUUCUCACCCUAUGUCAAAUGUCAGGAAUACCCCUCCUCUUCUUGAUAACGUGGCUCGUCGACGGGCCACAUCUUUUGCUCUUCUUGGGCUUUUAUUGAACAGGGUCGGGCCUUUUAAGAGGGGGAUGAGCCUACCCUGAUGAGCCUCUUUAUAUAUGACUACUCUUUAUGUCACUAUCGUGAGCUCGGAAUCACAAUGCCGGAAUUUCGAGUCGAUCAUAAGUUUUGGCACUCGAUUACCGACACCCGGAAACUUGCUCGGUCUCUCGAAUCGCAACGACGAUCUUCCUGAGACCGUGUUUCCACCGUAUGGAGAAACUUUCUUCCACCAUCCAACCGGCGGUUCCUUGGACGACCGCAUCAUCAUCGACUUUAUAGAAUCCGAAAAAAAAAAGGCUCUGAUAAUUGUGUUUGAAUCUAUGUGAGAAGAAACGAAGGAAUUAUUAAUCAACUACAGUCACUUUCUUCGUUUUCCUUGAUCUGCAAAGUCAACAGUAUGAGACCUUUAGUGAUCCUCCAAUUUGUCUUCUUACCGCAACAUCAGUUUAGGUAUUCAGCUAAAGAGCUUCAAUGAGAGCUUACCAAAUCUAUGUGGCUCGCAAUAAUGUAUUUUCAGUGAAUGGAGCUCAUUUGUAUUUGUUUUUAGACCGUAGAGAUAUGAUUAAAAUGCUUUGAUUC